GGACUGGUAGCUCAGUGGUAGAGCGAGAGAUUGCAGCUUCUGCAGGUCCCACCCGCGGUUCAAAUAUCUCUAGGUCGCGAUUUCGAUUAUCGCCCGGUCCU
rnacentral:tRNA from 1 species